rnacentral:rRNA from 1 species
UACGGAGGGGGCUAGCGUUGUUCGGAAUUACUGGGCGUAAAGCGCACGUAGGCGGCUUUGCAAGUUAGAGGUGAAGGCCCGGGGCUCAACUCCGGAAUUGCCUUUAAAACUGCAUCGCUAGAAUUGUGGAGAGGUAAGUGGAAUUCCGAGUGUAGAGGUGAAAUUCGUAGAUAUUCGGAAGAACACCAGUGGCGAAGGCGACUUACUGGACACAUAUUGACGCUGAGGUGCGAAAGCGUGGGGAGCAAACAGG